GAUGGUAUGAGUGAAAAAAACUGUCUCUGUGUCUUGUUGUUUUGGCAUGCAAUGCCCUAUGUCCUCUGGGGAGGAGUUGAAACAGUUUCUGUCCAGGCUGUGAGGGAUCUAUAGAUUUUUUCUCAACCCUCUUUCUGACUUUUGCAGGAUAGAGUCCCUCAGUAGAAGGCAGGCUGGUUGCAAUUGUUGUUUUCUGAGGUCCUAAACUUUCCUUUCAAGUCUGAACUUGUCCUGUUUGGUAGCUGUAGCAAACCAGACAGUUAUAGAAGUACAGAUUCAAUAAUUCCUCUAUAGAACUAUAUCAGCAGUUUCUUGGGCAGUCUCAACUUCCUGAGUUGAUGCAGGAAGAACAUUCUUUGUUGUGCCUUUUUAAUAAUGAUUCUAAUGUUAGGUGCCCAUUUCAAAUCCUGGGAGGUUAUAGAGCCAGAAAUAUGAAGCUUGUGGCUCUUUUCCCCUCCUCUUGACUUCUCUGACUCUCUGAGACUUCUCGGAGAUUAGAAAUCUCAAGAAAUGUUUGAGUGGUGACUCCAUUGCUUGAUGUACAAAUAAUAAUCCUAAUAUCUGAUGCCAAAAGGAUGGAGAGAAAAAAACAUCCAGCCAGAAAUAUGACAUCCAGGUAUUGUGGGAACAAGAGAAGGAGAUGUGGGUCUUCCAGCUUUCAUUUCCCACAGUUCUCUCCAGUGAGUAAGGUAGGAUAAUAAUGUCCUGAAUUUGAGCUCAAACUGUGGUGCCAAAGGAUAAACAGGCUCCAGUGUUCUUGGCAAAGUUAGGAAAGUGGUUUCCUUUCUUUGCAGAAUAUUUCUUUUACUUCCCAGUUUGGUAUAGUUUGUUUGCUCAAGAGAGAGUGCAUUAAGAAAAAAGUUUCUGUGUACUGGGUUUGUGGUAUGUUGCUUCUUUGAUCUACGUAAGUGAAAGCAGAGCUGAGCAGAUCUUCGAUCCCCAGAAGGUCUGAGCAUGAAGCAACUCAGGAGACUGUGGCUGGGCUGUCACUUUCCUGUGUUUCUGGUGACAGAGUUGUCCUGCCUCUUGAAGAGAAAGGGAGAAGAAUGGGAGAUCUGAGGAACACGAUCAUUGCUUUGCUGCUGGCCAUCUCCACAGCUGUAUCAGGUCAAGUCACCCAGGAGCACCAAUUUCUUUCAGUCAAGGAAGGAGACUCCAUCCGGCUGAAAUGCUCCUAUUCAGAAACAGCUUCUAGUCUUCAGUGGUACAAGCAAUGUCCAGGAGGCCAGCCAAAAUUCCUGAUGGCCUUGUAUUCAUCAACGACUGAAGCAAAGGAUAAUUUGGAGAUGACUCUGAACACAAAAAACAAGACCACAUCUUUGUAUCUGAAGAACACCCAGUUUAACGAUUCAGCUGUCUACUUCUGUGCAUGGAGCCACAGUGCUAGAAAGACACCUGCUGGUUGUCACCAAAGGUGGAGGGCAACCAAGAGGAAGAAAUUGAGCUGCCUACUGGAGGCCUUCUGCAGAAAGAUCAGGAGAACAUCUUGAGACACAGCAUCGUAGCUAAAAAAAUCUAUUUGUCCCAAAAGUCUUUUCCCCAAAGGCAACUAGACUUCCUUCAUUUUUUUCCUUGAACACAUUUUGAUUUUCAUCCAA